CUUGGUAUUAUUGAGAGCUGAAGGAAAUAAGAGCUUUUUGUUGUUCCUCCCAGGCUCUAAGGAAAAGGGAAAAAGGACAAGAAACCUGUCAAAUGUGACAUCUUGAGAUAGUAGCUAUAAUAGAUCUCCUGUCUUGUGAUCUCCUGUCUCAUGUGAGUAGCUCCAGGGACUACCCUUCUACAUGAACAAGAGAAUACUGAUCUAAACCCUGCUUGGAGUUUGCCAGCUUCUGAAACUCUGGUCUGGACUGAACCUCUAAGGGAGUCCUCCUCCUAUGGACCUCACCUAUGUUACCAUUUCCCAGCAUGUCUAGGGGGGUAGAGGGGAAGAAUUGACUGGAAAUAUCAGCUUCUGCCUGGGGCAAUCUGAUCACGAAGUUUUCUGGGCCAAUGAUGAGCCAGGGUUUCUCUGCCCCUCCAUGUGAGGGGACAGCCUGACCCAGAGACAAAGACUAGUUUUAGUUUCAGUUUCGAACUUUGAGUUUGGGAGCUCAGAGAGAAACUGAACAGCUCAGGGAGUUUCUGAUAUACUCCCCUGCCAUUCCCACAAACUGGAGUAUGCCAUGGGAUUUAGGGCAUGGGUAAGACAGUUCCAGCCCUGCAGAGACCAGCAGCCAGAGUGUCGGAGAUCUGACCUAAUCCAAGAGACCAAGAUCUAGCCAAGACUUCCACAGGACUCCAGAGAAGGGAGAUAGGAGAAGACCCUGCCCCACCCAGGGGCAAAGAUGCUACGAGAAGACACCUUAUUGUUAAAACCAGCCAAUGUUCACAGUACUGCAGCACUUACCUCUAGAUUCAUACC